CGUUGAGUUAUUGAACCAUUUGCAUCAUGAGCUGUGCCUCGUUAACUUGCUUAUUUGUGAGUUGUGUUAUAGAGGUUUCUGUGGGAAGCUUGUCGAGACACUACUUUAAUCAUCUUGAUGGUAGCUGCGGCUGCUUCUUUGGCCCUUGGGAUAAAGACAGAGGGUAUAAAAGAAGGAUGGUAUGAUGGUGGAAGUAUUGCGUUGGCUGUCUUUAUCGUCAUUGUUGUAACAGGUUGGAUUUUCUGUUAACGGAGUAAUAAUACUAACUUUUAUGUGGGUUUUGAAGGCAUUCCUUGAGGACGAUGGAAGGUAACUUUGGUCCGGAUCUUCUUGGCUUUCUUCUUAAAAGUUGUCCCAGAUUUGACAAAUUUGGCAACCUUGGCUGCCUGAGCCUUUGUAUCAAGCUUUUUUGUGGUGUCAGCUUUAGGAGCCAUUGCUGAAAACUGCCUUACAAAUCUUUUACCUGAGGGGAGGAGCUGAGUGUUGCUGAAGCGGCUCUGUGUUGAAAUUUGGGACUUGGAUUUGUUUUGUAAAGCUACCUCGAGUUAUGUGUGAAAUUUAGGCCAAAUACCACUUAUCAAACUAUCUAUAGGGUGUUGUUGAACUUCAUUAUGAUAUUUGAAUGCUUAUAUGAUAUUUUGACAUUUCGUAAUGCAAUGGAUGCAUUCAUUUGCUAAUUAUAAA